rnacentral:rRNA from 1 species
GUGGGGAAUAUUGGCCAAUGGGCGCAAGCCUGAUCCAGCCAUGCCGCGUGAGUGAUGAAGGCCUUAGUGUUGUAAAGCUCUUUCAGUGGGGACGAUAAUGACGGUACCCACAGAAGAAGCCCCGGCUACCUUCGUGCCAGCAGCCGCGGUAAUACGACGGGGGCUAGCGUUGUUAGGAUUUACUGGGCGUAAAGCGCACGUAGGCGGUUCGUUUAGUCGGGGGUGAAAUCCUGAAGCUCAACUCCAGAACUGCCUACGAUACUGGCGAUCUGGAGUCCGGAAGAGGUGAGUGGAAGUCCUAGUGUAGAGGUGGAAUUCGUAGAUAUUAGGAAGAACUCCAGUGGCGAAGGCGGCUCACUGGUCCGGUACUGACGCUGAGGUGCGAAAGCGUGGGGAGCAAACAGGAUUAGAAACCCGGGUAGUCC